rnacentral:rRNA from 1 species
UGGCUCAGAACGAACGCUGGCGGCAGGCCUAACACAUGCAAGUCGAGCGCACCUUCGGGUGAGCGGCGGACGGGUGAGUAACGCGUGGGAAUAUGCCCUUCUCUACGGAAUAGCCUCGGGAAACUGAGAGUAAUACCGUAUACGCCCUUCGGGGGAAAGAUUUAUCGGAGAAGGAUUAGCCCGCGUUAGAUUAGAUAGUUGGUGGGGUAAUGGCCUACCAAGUCUACGAUCUAUAGCUGGUUUUAGAGGACGAUCAGCCACACUGGGACUGAGACACGGCCCAGACUCCUACGGGAGGCAGCAGUGGGGAAUCUUAGACAAUGGGCGCAAGCCUGAUCUAGCCAUGCCGCGUGAGUGAAGAAGGUCUUAGGAUCGUAAAGCUCUUUCGCCAGGGAUGAUAAUGACAGUACCUGGUAAAGAAACCCCGGCUAACUCCGUGCCAGCAGCCGCGGUAAUACGGAGGGGGUUAGCGUUGUUCGGAAUUACUGGGCGUAAAGCGCGCGUAGGCGGAUCAGAAAGUUGGGGGUGAAAUCCCAGGGCUCAACCCUGGAACUGCCUCCAAAACUCCUGGUCUUGAGUUCGAGAGAGGUGAGUAGAAUUCCAAGUGUAGAGGUGAAAUUCGUAGAUAUUUGGAGGAAUACCAGUGGCGAAGGCGGCUCACUGGCUCGAUACUGACGCUGAGGUGCGAAAGUGUGGGGAGCAAACAGGAUUAGAUACCCUGGUAGUCCACACCGUAAACGAUGAAUGCCAGUCGUCGGGCAGUAUACUGUUCGGUGACACACCUAACGAAUUAAGCAUUCCGCCUGGGGAGUACGGUCGCAAGAUUAAAACUCAAA